UACGAAGGGGGCUAGCGUUGCUCGGAAUCACUGGGCGUAAAGGGUGCGUAGGCGGGUUUUUAAGUCAGAGGUGAAAUCCUGGAGCUCAACUCCAGAACUGCCUUUGAUACUGGGAAUCUUGAGUAUGGAAGAGGUGAGUGGAACUGCGAGUGUAGAGGUGGAAUUCGUAGAUAUUCGCAAGAACACCAGUGGCGAAGGCGGCUCACUGGUCCAUAACUGACGCUGAGGCACGAAAGCGUGGGGAGCAAACAGG
rnacentral:rRNA from 1 species